rnacentral:tRNA from 1 species
GCCUUCGUGGUGUAAUGGUCAGCACACUGAGCCGGUAUUUCAGAGGUAGGUGGUUCGAUUCCCGGCGAAGGAA